UGGAGUGUGACAAUGGUGUUUGUAUCCAAUCUCUCAAACGCCAUUAUCACACUAAAUA
rnacentral:pre_miRNA from 1 species